CCCUUGAUAUCAAUGGAGAUGGAGUUCCAAAUCUUAUCCAAGGAACGAGAAUUGGAGGUCAAUUUCCUUUGGUUUCUUUCCAUCCAAAUCUGAUUGAUGGUGGCACAGAAUGUGAGUUUUCCCACAAGGUCACAUAUUGAUUUCCCUUGGAAAGUCAUAUCCAUCCAGAUCCAUUCCUUAUGGAAGGGGAGGAUUCUUCUAUUUGUUGGCCAGCAUUUGGAGAGGACACCCUUCUAUAUGGAGUUGGAGACGGGGCAGGCAAAGAAGAGGUGAUCGAUAUCUUCUGGAUCGUUCCCACAAAGAAUGCACAUGUGGUCUACCUGGAUGCCUCUGAGAAUGAGCAUAGCAUUCGUGGGCAAGGAGUUGUUGAAAGCUCUCCAGGCUGUGAAGCUUUGGCGGGGCUGUGAAGCUUUGGCGGGGGAUGUGGUGAGGGAACCAUAUAAGUUUGUGCCAAAGAGAGACUGGCCUAUGGGUUCUGACAAACUCCCAAGCAGCCUUGGAGGAGAAAAGCUUAGAGACAGCUGGCAACCAAAGGAUGGAAUCUUGCUCCUACCUAUGAGAUCCCUGAAUGGGAGGAAGGGAGUUCCAAAUGUCAUCAAGUAGGGACAAGGAGUGGCUUGGGGUGGACUAGCUACCCGAAGAAAUGGUAUUAGAAACGAGGGCGAACUUAGCCCUGAGUUGUAUAUGCUUCUGGCACUAAUAGCGUGGAAGAGAAUGCCUUUGGGAUGCCAAGAGUCUAGCCACAAGAGAGUGCUGGAUCCAUCUCUAAUUUGGGAGGAUAUGGCUGGAAGGAUAGAGGGUCUAAUACCCAAAAUCUUUCUCCAAACCCAAGAGGCAUCAACCAGAGUUUUGGCUGUCCGAAAGGAAUCCAGCUUGAGAAGGCUUGAGUAGACCAUCAACCCAUACCCUUCUUUUUAGAAAUAAUUUUCCAAGCCAACUUGAUAAUACCUGCAAGAUUGACAUCUUUGAUACUUCGCAACCCUAAGCCUCCUUUGGAUUUUGGGAGACAAAUAGCAACCCAACUAAUGAGACGAAGGAAUCUAGAGAUUUUGCUUCCUUUCCAAAGGAAGGCUGCAAACAUGGAUUCCAGCAUGGAGAUAAUAGAUACCGGGAGAGCGCAAAUACCAAACCAGUAGAUGUACGAAGCUUGCAACACAGAUCUGAUGAGCUCUAGUCUGCCAGCAAAUGACAAAAGCUUUCCUUUCCAGAGGUUGGGUCACUUCCUGAUGAGGUCAAGCAUAGGGGAACAAUGAUGAGCGGUGAGCCUGGCCGGAAUAAGAGGAAGACCAAGAUACUUCACUGGAAGCCUCCCUAUUGUGAAACCAGUAAGGUGAAGCAGAGAAGCUUUGUCCACAUCAGAGAUCCCAGCUAAGAAUAGGAGGGAUUUGGCUGGGUUGAUGCGCAGCCCAGGCAAAUCGGCAAACUGAUUUAAACAUAUCAUGAUGUUCUGCAGAGAGGAUGGGUCAGCCUUGGAGAACAUCAUCAGCAUAAGCAAGGUGGGUGAUCAUCAAAGCUUUACACUUGGGGAUGGCAGCAAUGAGGUUCUGAUCUGUGGCCCUUUGCAGACUUCUGGAGAGGACUUUCACAGCUAAGCAGAAGAUGUUGGAUUGAGGUUUCUCUUGGCUUGAACUGUAGAAUGGAGAAAAAGUUCUCACAAGGCAGUUGCUAUUUCCUCUUCACACGACCCCCCACCAUGGUGAUUGGUCUCAAACAGCACCCCCCCCAAAACCAUCAGUCUUCCCUCUGACGACUGGGAGUCUUAGGAUGAGUCUGUCAAUGCAGUGGAGGUCGCCAAUAUGACAUGUCUCAUCAGAUCGUUCAGAUUAUCCAGUGAGGAGGAGGAGGAGUCCUCGGAUGAGGAGCCCGUCUCGGAGAGAAAGGUCUCCUGAGAGGCACAGGAGCUCUCCAAGAAAGAGGUCACCUGUUAGAACCAUUUCUUCUCACAGGAGGAAGUCACCCACGAGAAAAAUCAACUCGCUGUAGGUCUCCAAAACAUGGAAGGUCGGUCUCUCCUGUAUUGUGUUCUCCUUCUCCACUCACAAAACGCCUGAAACAAGUUCAGGCUGAGCGUGAGGCUGACAGAGUUACUGACAGGGAGCGUGAGCGGAAUAAUGUCAGGGAAAGUGAUAAGGGGAGACAUAGGGAAAGAGGUGUGGACAGGGAAGCUCCUAGUAACUGGGAAAGGGGUGUGGAUAAGGAAGCUCCCAGUGAUAGGGAAAGGGGUGUGGACAAGGAAAUUCAAGUAAGAGAACUGAGAGGAGUGAUCGAAGUGAGAGGAGACCAGGAAGGGAUAGAGAUGAUAACGGCUCAUCUAGGUCAAGACAUGCGCACUCAAGCUCACCAACUGAUCGUGGCCACAGGAAUAGACAGUUCCCGCUCACCUCCGGGGGCCGGAGCACGUCACGAUGUGUCUGGUAGCAUACCCAAGAGGAUCUGAGCAGAGCUGGGAUGACGAUAAGGAUUCAGUGGCUAAAAUGAAGGCUACUGAGGAGGCCCUGGAAGAAAAACAAAAGCAAAAACCUUCAUUUGAGCUGUCUGGGAAGCUUGCUGCUGAAACAAAUCGUGUUAAGGUGAGAUUCUCAAUGACUUAGAUCUUUAAUCAGGAUCAAACUUUCCAAUGUCCACAUGGCUCGUUUUGUUUCAAUGAAUAUUUUACAGGUAUUUUCUUAUAUGUAAAGAAAAUUCUAUAGUAAUGAAGGAAUAAAUACAUGUUCAAAAUAAUAAA